UGGGGAAUUUUGGACAAUGGGCGCAAGCCUGAUCCAGCCAUGCCGCGUGCGGGAAGAAGGCCUUCGGGUUGUAAACCGCUUUUGUCAGGGAAGAAACGGUCUGGGUUAAUACCCUGGGCUAAUGACGGUACCUGAAGAAUAAGCACCGGCUAACUACGUGCCAGCAGCCGCGGUAAUACGUAGGGUGCGAGCGUUAAUCGGAAUUACUGGGCGUAAAGCGUGCGCAGGCGGCCAUGCAAGACAGAUGUGAAAUCCCCGGGCUCAACCUGGGAACUGCAUUUGUGACUGCAUGGCUAGAGUACGGCAGAGGGGGAUGGAAUUCCGCGUGUAGCAGUGAAAUGCGUAGAUAUGCGGAGGAACACCGAUGGCGAAGGCAAUCCCCUGGGCCUGUACUGACGCUCAUGCACGAAAGCGUGGGGAGCAGACAGGAUUAGAUACCCUGGUAGUCCACGCCCUAAACGAUGUCAACUGGUUGUUGGGAGGGUUUCUUCUCAGUAACGUAGCUAACGCGUGAAGUUNNCNGNCUGGGGAGUACGGCCGCAAGGUUG
rnacentral:rRNA from 1 species